rnacentral:rRNA from 1 species
UGUGACAUACCUUAAUGUUGCCUCGGCGGAUCAGCCCGCGCCCCGUAAAACGGGACGGCCCGCCAGAGGACCCAAACUCUAAUGUUUCUUAUUGUAACUUCUGAGUAAAACAAACAAAUAAAUCAAAACUUUCAACAACGGAUCUCUUGGUUCUGGCAUCGAUGAAGAACGCAGCAAAAUGCGAUAAGUAAUGUGAAUUGCAGAAUUCAGUGAAUCAUCGAAUCUUUGAACGCACAUUGCGCCCGCUGGUAUUCCGGCGGGCAUGCCUGUUCGAGCGUCAUUUCAACCCUCAAGCCCCCGGGUUUGGUGUUGGGGAUCGGCUCUGCCCUUCUGGGCGGUGCCGCCCCCGAAAUACAUUGGCGGUCUCGCUGCAGCCUCCAUUGCGUAGUAGCUAACACCUCGCAACUGGAACGCGGCGCGGCCAUGCCGUAAAACCCCAACUUCUGAAUGUUGACCUCGGAUCAGGUAGGAAUACCCGCUGAACUUAAGCAUAUCAAUAAGCGGAGGAA